AGUGAACGCUGGCGGUAGGCCUAACACAUGCAAGUCGAACGGCAGCACAGUAAGAGCUUGCUCUUACGGGUGGCGAGUGGCGGACGGGUGAGGAAUACAUCGGAAUCUACUUUUUCGUGGGGGAUAACGUAGGGAAACUUACGCUAAUACCGCAUACGACCUACGGGUGAAAGCAGGGGAUCUUCGGACCUUGCGCGAUUGAAUGAGCCGAUGUCGGAUUAGCUAGUUGGCGGGGUAAAGGCCCACCAAGGCGACGAUCCGUAGCUGGUCUGAGAGGAUGAUCAGCCAACCUGGAAAUUAGACACGGUCCAGACUCCUACGGGAGGCAGGAGUUGGGAAUAUUGGACAAUGGGCGCAAGCCUGAACCAGCCAUACCGCGUUGGUUAAGAAGGCCUUCGGGUUGUAAAGCCCUUUUGUUGGGAAAGAAAAGCAGCAGGUUAAUACCCCGCUGUUCUGACGGUACCCAAAGAAUAAGCACCGGCUAACUUCGUG
rnacentral:rRNA from 1 species